AACUUUUAACGGUGGAUCUCUAGGCUCGCGUAUCGAUGAAGAACGUAGCAAAGUGCGAUAAGUAGUGCGAAUUGCGAGUAUGAAUGUAGAGGAAAUGAUGGUAGUUUAUUGAAAUUAGUCAAUUUUAGACCUCAGAUCAGGCAAGACUACCCGCUGAACUUAAGCAUAUCAAUAAGCGGAG
rnacentral:rRNA from 1 species